ACUGCAGAGGAUCCACUGGUGAACAAGUGAAGUAAUGCUACAUUUCUCAAAGUCUGUUACAAUGAAGGAAAUAAACUUAUCUACAUCUGGAAUGGCCUGGGGUAAAUCAAACCACAUG